AGAGUUUGAUCCUAGCUCAGGAUUAACGUUGGUAGUAUGCCUAACACAUGCAAGUCGAGCGGGAGGUAGUAGCAAUAUUGCUUCUAGCGGCGAACGGGUGAGUAAUGCUUAUCUUACUUACCAAUUAGUGGGGGAUAACCGUGGGAAACCAUGGCUAAUACCGCAUUUGUUACUUAGUAAUGAAAGGGAAUCGCAAGAUUCUCGCUAAUUGAUAGGGAUAAGUCGUAUUAGUUAGUUGGUGGGGUAAUGGCCUACCAAGGCAUUGAUGCGUAGCCAGUCUAAGAGAAAUGGCCACAAGGGAACUGAGACACGGUCCCUACUCCUACGGGAGGCAGCAGUGAGGAAUUUUCGGCAAUGGGGGCAACCCUGACCGAGCAAUACUACGUGAAGGAAGAAGGUCUACGGAUUGUAAACUUCUGUUGGCACAGAAGAAGGCUGAACAUAAGUUCAGUUUGACAGUAUGUGCAGAGAAUUCACGACUAACUAUGUGCCAGCAGUCGCGGUAAGACAUAGGUGGCGAACGUUAUCCGGAAUUAUUGGGCGUAAAGGGUGCGUAGAUGGCAUGAUAAGUUAUUAGUGGGAAAUCGAGGCCCAACCUCGUGGAAGUUAAUAAUACUGUUUUGCUAGAGUGCAGGAGAGGUCAAUGGAACUCUUUGUGUAGGGGUAAAAUCCAAUGAUAUAAAGAUGAACACCAAUAACGGCGAAGGCAGUUGACUAUUCUGUUACUGACAUUGAGGCACGAAAGCGUGGGGAGCAAAACGGAUUAGAUACCCGUGUAGUCCACGCCCUAAACGAUGAGUGCUAGAUAUUGGACGUUUUGUUCAGUGUCGCUAGUUAACACGUUAAGCACUCCGCCUGGGUAGUACGCUCGCAAGAGUGAAACUCAAAGGAAUUGACGGGGACUCGCACAAGCAGUGGAGCAUGUGGUUUAAUCCGAUACAACGCGUAGAACCUUACCAAGGCUUGACAUGUAAGGUAGCAAUACUUAAGCUAGGGAAACCUAGUUGAAUUACACAGGUGCUGCAUGGUCGUCGUCAGUUCGUGCCGUGAGGUGUAUGGUUAAGUCCUAUAACGAACGCAACCCUUGUGCUUAGUUGCCAGCAAGUUAAGUUGGGGACUCUAAGCAGACUGCAGGUGUGCUUAACAGCAUGCCUUAUAUUGAGCAAUCAGUAUACUGAGUAAUCAGGAGGAAGGAAAGGAUGACGUCUGAUCGUCAUGGCCCUUAUGCCUUGGGCGACACACGUGCUACAAUGGUUAGGACAAAGGGUCGCCAACCCGUGAGG
rnacentral:rRNA from 1 species